AAAAGGAAUAAAAAGAUAUA
rnacentral:miRNA from 1 species